GAUGAACGCUGGCGGCGUGCUUAACACAUGCAAGUCGAACGGAAAGGCCCUGCUUUUGUGGGGUGCUCGAGUGGCGAACGGGUGAGUAACACGUGAGUAACCUGCCCUUGACUUUGGGAUAACUUCAGGAAACUGGGGCUAAUACCGGAUAGGAGCUCCUGCUGCAUGGUGGGGGUUGGAAAGUUUCGGCGGUUGGGGAUGGACUCGCGGCUUAUCAGCUUGUUGGUGGGGUAGUGGCUUACCAAGGCUUUGACGGGUAGCCGGCCUGAGAGGGUGACCGGCCACAUUAGGACUGAGGUACGGCCCAGACGCCAACGGGAGGCAGCAGUGGGGAAUAUUGCACAAUGGGCGGGAGCCUGAUGCAGCAACGCCGCGUGCGUGAUGACGGCCUUCGGGUUGUAAACCGCUUUCGCCUGUGACGAAGCGUGAGUGACGGUAAUGGGUAAAGAAGCACCGGCUAACUACGUG
rnacentral:rRNA from 1 species